GAGUUUGAUCGUGACUCAGAACGAACGCUGGCGGCAUGCCUAACACAUGCAAGUCGAACGAGACCUUCGGGUCUAGUGGCGCACGGGUGCGUAACGCGUGGGAAUCUGCCCUUAGGUACGGAAUAACUCAGGGAAACUUGUGCUAAUACCGUAUGAUGUCGAGAGACCAAAGAUUUAUCGCCUAGGGAUGAGCCCGCGUAGGAUUAGCUAGUUGGUGGGGUAAAGGCCUACCAAGGCUACGAUCCUUAGCUGGUCUGAGAGGAUGAUCAGCCACACAGGGACUGAGACACGGCCCAGACUCCUACGGGAGGCAGCAGUGGGGAAUAUUGGACAAUGGGCGAAAGCCUGAUCCAGCAAUGCCGCGUGAGUGAAGAAGGCC
rnacentral:rRNA from 1 species